rnacentral:rRNA from 1 species
CAGCCGCCGCGGGAAUACCAGCAGCCCAAGUGGUGGUCGCGCUUAUUGGGCCUAAAGCGCUCGUAGCCUGGCCGGUAAGUUCCCCGUGAAAUCGGGUCGCCCAACGAUUCGGCUUGCGGGGAAUACUGUCGGUCUUGGGGCCGGGAGACGCCGAGGGUACUCCGGGGGUAGCGGUGAAAUGCUGUAAUCCUCGGGGGACUACCAGUGGCGAAGGCGCUCGGCGAUAACGGGCCUGACGGUGAGGGGCGAAAGCUGGGGGCGCGAACGGGAUUAGAUACCCCUGUAGUCCCUGUCUCUUAUA